UGGGGAUCCUGAUCCCCUUCAGGCUGGCUGCGUGGUCACAAGCUCCAGCCUCCAGGGGAGAUAGGAAAUGAGCAGGAAAACAAGGGGAGGGGGGAGGGUCCCCAGCUCCAGUCUCUGAUUCUCACUCAGGGAGGGCCCCCUGCUCUCAGUCUACCCUCACUGAGGAGUGGGCAUAAUUAGGAGCAAGAAACAGAAAGCAGUCAUUUCAUCAACAAGUACCGCCUGGUGCGUCAGGCCAGGCCCCAGAGCUGGAGGGCCUCUGGCUCCCGCGCUUACCAACGGGGGCCCCUCUUCUCAGCCGCCGGACCCGACAGGCAACACCGGAGAGUUCCGCCAGGGAUCCGGGGGUGCAAGCUGUGGAAAUCAGGGCGGCUUGGGACGGCAAGAUCCCGUGAGGCACCCAGAGGCUUGCCUGGUGCCAUCGAGGGAUAUUUACAUAUUAAAAGAAGCUUCUGGAAGAGAGCAACGCUUGCUCGGAGCUUUGUGCCAUCCGGAGAAGAAAUGCCUGA